rnacentral:rRNA from 1 species
UACAGAGGGGGCAAGCGUUGUCCGGAAUUACUGGGCGUACAGCGCGCGCAGGCGGACCGCCACGUGCCGUGUGACAAGCCACUGCUCAACAGUGGAGGGCCAGGGUACACGAGCGGUCUGGAGGCAGGGAGAGGGAUGUGGAAUGCCCGGUGGAGCGGUGAAAUGCGUAGAGAUCGGGCGGAACACCAGCGGCGAAGGCGGCAUCCUGGUCCUGUACUGACGCUGAGGCGCGAGAGCGUGGGGAGCGAACUGG